rnacentral:lncRNA from 1 species
CAUCUAUACUUGGUCAUAUUGUCAAGUUCUUAUUACCAUGCCAUCACUUUUGUCAAUAGUGAUCUUUCUAUUCCUAAUCUCAUAAAUGAUCUACUCUAAAUCACUAUCAAAGUUUAGAGGGUGUUUAUGAACAACUAUCUCAUUGACACUAGGCAUUUGUAAAUAUGUAUCCACUUUCCACUACUAAAGAGAUCAGAUUUUUUUGCUCCCUAAGACCAACCGGAAUGUG